rnacentral:lncRNA from 1 species
GUGACUCUGAUGUAGCAUGUGGCGUGUGUAAGCCAAUUUCAUAUACUCUUCUCUUCAGUACAUGUACUUGUAACGAUAUCCAUUCUUGCGAAACGACGAGAUGCACUUCUAUCCCUGUCGAGUCCCUCGCGCCAAAAUAAGGAUAUGAUCGCAUCUUGGGACAGAUGAGAAGAACUCCAGAAAGAAAUUAGAGAUUGAUC